GCGAUGACUAAGAUGUCAGUGCUGGCCAAAGGGGGCGCCGAGAAGCUGAAGGAAAGAAGACGCAGAAUGUUAGAUUAAAGGAGGCAGGAUGGGCUAAAUACUCCUAUACAGUCCACGCAAAGAGGGGUUGGACGAGCUCGGGUAUAUCUUUUUUUCUUCCAGGUUUCUGGGGUAGAAGGGAGGAGGCAUAAGAGGUACAAUAGUUUAUUUCAAGGUAGGGUUGUUGGUGCUUUUUUUUUUUCAGUUUCACCAAAAUCUUUUUUUUUUUUCAAUGUCAACAAAAUGUGCUAGCUAACGUGGGCAGGAAAAAUGAGCUCCAAUAGUUUUCCUUUAGAGUUUGGAUCUGGCAGCUUUUCCCCAAGUAUAAAGCCCUGUUGUACAGUAUUUGUGCUGCAUUAUUUAUAGCAUGAAAGUGCAUCUUUUACCCAAGCGUCUGAAAGUGUUGAAACAGUCUACCUUUUGCUUUUCUUUUCGACAUCAGAGAGAAAGAAAAUGAUAUAUGUCAGAAACUCAGAUAUCCGUAAAGAAAGAAAGCAUUGGGAAAAGAAUAAAUGAAGGGAAGGGUAUCAAUUUACUUCUAAGAAUUCCCCAAAAGGAACAAAUGGAAAAUAGAAUUUUAUCUGCUUCAUUUGCAAUGUCACAAGUAUGGAUCAUUUUCAUAAAAUUCAUCUCAUACCCCUGGGAUGAAAGAGUUGAUGAGGUAAUGUGCAGAGAACCUUCAUUGGCAAUUCUGAGAUCAGAUGUGCAGUUUUCAAUAAUCAAUUAUUUGUAGAUUAUUUUCAACUCUACUAAUGUUUCUUAUGCAUCUGAGGAAGACAAAAAUAUUUGCUGUGUGGAAGCUGGAAGGAGGAAGCCUAGGAUGUGGAGAACAUGUAUCAAGCCUGAAAAUGGGCCUAUUUUUGUUUUUUUACUAUUUAACCAAAAUUUGAACCAAUCAGAAAAUUACAGAAAAAUUGAAAGUAUAGUUUAAAUAAACCUUUUCCCCUGAACUGUUUGAGAAUAAGUUGCCAGCAUGCGGGUCCAUCACCCUGAAAUAGUUUGUAUUUCCUACAAAGACACUUAUCUAUAAAACCAUAAUACAAUCAUAAAAGUUAGGCAGUAAACACUGAUACAUUACUAUCAUCUAAUUCACAGAGCCAUUCAAGUUGACAGUUGUUUCAAUAAUGUCCUUUAUAGCGAAAGGAUUCAAUCCAGGAUUAUGCACUGCUUGUAGCUGUCAUGUUUCUUUUUUGUUUCGUUUGAGACAGGGUCUCACUUUGUCACUGAGGCUGGAGUGCAGUGGGGUGAUCUUGGCUCAUGGCAGCCUCGACCUCCUGGGUUCAAGCAAUCCUCCUGCCCCAGCCCCCCCCAAGUAGCUGGGAAUACAGGCAUGCACCACCACACCCUGCUAAUUUUUGUUUAUUUUUUAGAGAUGGGGUUUUGCCAUGUUGCCCAGGCUGGUCUCGAACUCCUGAGCUUAAGUGAUCCGCCUGCUUCGGCCUCCCAAAGUGCUGGGAUUGCAGGUGUGAGCCACCGCGCCCAGCCUCAUGUCUCUUUUGUCUUUGAUCUAGUACAGUUACUCAGUCUUUCCUCAGAUCUCAUCCCUUAGCACAUUUGAAAGUUCCAAGCUAGCUAUUCUGUAGGAUGACCUGCCAUUUUAGUUUGUCUGGUGUUUUAUCAUGAUUAGAUCCAGAUUAUGCAUCUUUGGCAGGAACAUCACAGAAGUGAUACUAUUGCGUCCUCUCAUUGCAUCCUAUCAUGUGAAGUAAGAUUUUUUAAAGAAAUAGAUUUUGUUUUUUAGGUUCACAGCAAAAUUGAGCGGAAGGUACAGAGUUCACAUAUAUCCCCUGCCUUACACAUGCAUAGCCUUCCCCCGUUAUCAACCUCCCCCGCCAGAGUGCUACAUUUGUUACAACUGAGGCCCACAUUGAUGCAUCAUCACCUAAAGUCCACAGUUUAUAUUAGGGUCCAGUCUUGGUGUGGUACAUUCUGUGAGUUUGGACAAACGCAUAAUGACAUGCACCCAUAAUUAUAGUGUCAUACAGAAUAGUUUCACUGCCCUGAAAAAACCCUGUGCUCUGUCUGCUCAUCCUUCCCUCUCCCCUAACCCCUAGUGCCCACCGAUCUUUUUACUGUCUCCAUAGUUUAGGCAAGAUUAUCAUUUGUCCCAGUAUUGAUGAUGGGCUUUUCUUUUUUUUUUUUUUUUUGAGAUGGAGUUUCAUUCUUGAUGCCCAGGCUGGAGUGCAGUGGUGUGAUCUCGGCUCACUGCAACCUCCGUCUCCUGGAUUCAAGCAAUUCUCCUGCCUCAGCCUCCCGAGUAGCUGGGAUUACAGGCGUCUGCCAACAUGCUCAGCUAAUUUUUGUAUUUUUAGUAGAGAGGGGGUUUCACCAUGUUGGACAGGCCGGUCUCCAACUCCUGACCUCAGGUGAUCCACCUGCCUUGGCCUCCCAAAGUGCUGGGAUUACAGGCGUGAGCCACCACGCCCAGCUGAUGGUGUGCAGUUUGAUGACUUAAUUAAGGUGAUGUCUGCAAGGCUUCUCAACUGAAAGUUACUCUCUGACCUUUGAAAAAAAUAAAUAUUUGGGGGGAGCUACUUUAAAACGAUGUAAACAUCUUGUUCCUCAUCAAACUUUCAAUUUAUGUAUUUAUUUUAUUUAUAUUUAUAUGCGUUCCUAUUUUAUUCAAAUGGUUAUAGUUCAUGGUUCUCAUUUUUUAAUUUAAUUUUUUUAACUUAUUUUAAGUUCAGGGGUACAUGUGCAGGUUUGUGACAUAGGUAUACUUGUGUCAUGGAGGUUUCUUGUACAGAUUAAUUAAUCACUCAGGUAUUAAGCCUAGUACCCAUUAGCUAUUUUUCCUGAUCCUCUCCCUCCUCCCACCCUCCACCCUCCAUUAGGCCCCAGUGUAUGUUGUUCCCCUCUAUGUGUCCAUGAGUUCUCAUCAUUUAGCUCCUACUUAUAAGUGAGAACAUCCAGUAUUUGGUUUUCUGUUCCUGUGUUAGUUUGCUAAGGAUAAUGGCCUCCAGCUCCAUCCGUGUCCCUGCAAAGGACAUGGUCUCAUUAUUUUUUAUGGCUGCAUAGUAUUCCAUGGUGUGCAUGUAUUACAUUUUCUUUAUUCAGUCUAUCAUUGAUGGGCAUUUAGGGUGAUUCCAUGUCUUUGCUAUUGUGAAUAGUGCUGCGAUGAACAUACAUGUGCAUAUGUCUUUAUAAUAGAAUGAUUUCUGUUCCUUCGAGUAUAUACCCAGUAAUGGUAUUGCUGGGUCAAAUGGUAUUUCUGUUUUUAGGUCUUUGAGGAAUCACCACACCAUCUUCCACAAUGGCUGAACUAAUUUACACUCCCACCAACAGUGCAUAAGUGCUUUUUCACUUGUGUGUAACUUGUGUGUAAAAGGAGCACUUCAGUGUAUAAGUGCUCCUUUUUCCUUGCCAGCAUCUGUUAUUCUUUGACUUUGUAAUAAUAGUGUGGUGUGAGAUGGUAUCUCAUUGUGGUUUUGAUUUGCUUUUCUGUAAUGAUCAGUGAUGCUGAGCUUUUUUUCAUGGAUUCUUGGUGCAUGUAUGUCUUCUCUUGAAAAGUGUCCGUUCUUGUCCUUUGCCCACUUUUUAAUGGAGUUGUUUUUUUCUUGUAAAUUUGUUUAAGUUCCAUAUAGAUGCUGGCUAUUAGAUCUUAUUUAUUUUUAUGCUUAAAUUGUCUCCUAUUUGGCCAGUGGAAGCCCAUCCAACUGGGCCACAAUGUCUUCAUCAGUCUUUGAGCACAACCUCGUUUUUUGGUUAGAUGGUAAGAUGUUCCCGGUUCACCUUGUAUUUUCCAUGCCCCAGCUCUGGAAUCAGCCAUUUCUCCAAGAUAUUUUAUUCUUUGUUUGUUUGUUUUUGUUUGAGACAGGGUCUCAUUCCAUCACCCAGGCUGGGGUGCAGCAACGUGAUCAGGGUUCACUGCAGCCUCGACCUCCUGGGCUCAAUCUUCCCACCUCAGCCUCCCAAGUAGCUGGGACUACAGGUGUGCACCACCAUGCUCAGAUAAUUUUUUAUUUAUUUUUUGUAGAGACAGGGACUCACUAUAUUGCCCAGGAUGGUCUCAAACUCCUGGGCUCAAGUGAUCCUCCCCACUUUGGCCUCCCAAAGUGAAGAUCAUUCUUUUUUUUUUUGUAAAAAUUGGUAUUUAGAAGCCAAGACCUGGACAUGAGGUGUGUUUAUUGCUAUUCUCAGGCUGGCUCAGUUCAGAGUUAAGGAAUAUCUGUUGGUCUGUAUCUGUCUACCUAAGGAAUAUCUGUUGGUCUAUAUCUGUCUACUUAUCUUUCUAUACACACACACGCACAUAUUUGCAUAUGUAUUUAUUAAUCUAUUAUCUCUAUCUUGAAAACCGUGAGUUUACAACAAUAUGCCGAAUUCCAAUUCAACACCACGGGGGUCAUCCUUGUUUUUUCCUCUGCUGUAUUUGUAACUUCCUUCUCCAACAGUGAAAACCUUGUCUUUCAUUUUCCUUAAGAUAAUUACUAGUUUGAUCAAUCUUCUAUGGAAACAAUCUCCAAUUUCUGCUACCACACCCACUCCGGCCCAGAUGCCCAUGUUUUCCUGCUUGGCUCUCACUCUCCUUUCCAGGCAGUUCUCCGUCGUGGAUGGCCUCCUUGCAACGCUUGGGCUCUGAAAGCCCACACCAUGCACAGGGGUGCUGUCCUCUCCCUCCCUGGGCCCUGGCUAACUAGCCACUGCAGGCUGUCCCCUGGACAGGCACCUUCCCCAUCGUGCCCAGGCUCUAAUCCCCCAGGUGCUGGGCUGUUCUCAGGUGUGGAUAUCUCCCUCAUCCUACUCAGGCUCUGACAGUCCGGGCCAGGCUGCCGUGCUGUGUGGACGCUGUCCUUACUCUGAUGGGGGUCUGAGACCCUGUGCCAGGUCACCCACCCUGUAGCCCACCCUCUUCACCCUGCUUGGACUCCAAUACCCCACAUUGGGUCACCAUGAGUCCUCUCGACACCACUGUGGAUGCCAUCCUUCCUAUACACUACCUAAUGGCUUUAGGCCUGAAUUAUUAAGGAAGGGGCUGGGUAUGGUGGCUCACGCCUAUAAUCGCAGCACUUUGGGAGGCUGAGGCAGGCAGAUCACCUGAGGUCAGGAGUUGGAGACCAGCCUGGCCAACAUGGUGAAACCGCGUCUCUACUAAAAAUACAAAAAUUAGCCAGACUUGGUGGUGGGCACCUGUAAUCCCAGCUACUCGGGAGGCUGAGACAGGAGAAUCUCUUGAACCCGGCAGGUGGAGGUUGCAGUGAGCAGAGAUCAUGUCACUGACUCCAGCCUGGGUGACAGAGAAAGACUCAGUUAAAAAAAAAAUUAUUAUUAUUAAGGAAGGGAAAUGAUUUUUAAAAAUAAACUUUAAAUUAUUUAAGUACUAUCUAUGUUUUGAGUAGAUUUUUUUUCAUGUCUUUGAGCUACCUUAGCUCUGAGAACAUAGUGGCGAUCUCACACACACACACACACACACACACACACACACACGUGUUAGAAUGAAUUGAAUCACUGUCCCUUUUUGGACCAUAUCAUAAUUCGGCCGUGUCUGGUACUGCUGAUAAACAUAUACGCCAGUUUGUUUGUUUUUUGAGAUGGAGUUUUGCUCUUGUUGCCCAGGCUGGAGUGCAAUGGUGUGAUUUCGGCUUACUGCAACCUCUGCCCCCCAGGUUCAAGUGAUUCUCCUGCCUCAGCCUCCCAAGUAGCUGGGAUUACAGGAGCGCACCAACACGUCCGGCUAAUUUUUGUAUUUUUAGUAGAGACAGGGUUUCACCACCUUGGCCAGGCUGGUCUCGAACUCCUGACUUCAGGUGAUCCACCCGCCAUGGCCUCCCAAAGUGCUAGGAUUACAGGCAUGAGCCACCGCGCCCGGCCCACACCAGUUUUUAAUUAGUGCUUCUCAUCUACAAAUCCAGUCUUCAUUACCUGCUCAGUCAACGUGGACAUGAGCCUUUUUCUCCUUCGCCAGUCUGCACAGUGCUAA
rnacentral:lncRNA from 1 species